UCCAGCCUGGGCGACAGACCGAGACUUAAAGGAAAGAAAAAAAAGAAAAAGAAAAGGAAACAAAACUCGUCCGCGCUCUGCGCCAGGGACACCAGCUCAGCUGAGCGCACGGAGACUGUAGGCAGGACCUCCCUACCCCUCAGGUCAAACAAAGACCCAAGGCCUCUAGUGAGCAAUAGCACCACGGACCGUUUGGGACACCUCCAACUCGAGUUCCCGGAUUCACAGUCCGGGACUGUGCCGCUCCAGUCCCGGGGAGCAUAUAGCCAAUUCCCAGGUCAGAACAGACCAGCUUCUUAAGAACCGAGUGAAGACUCAGUGCUGGCAUUUGUCUCCGUAGGUACUGGCCGACCUGCAACCAGAAGGGUUUCUAGCCAGCUCAGGGCCCUCCGAACAAAGCAGCGCUCGGUGCCGGACCUGCAGCUCUCCCCACCCGGCAGCAGCGCCCUCAGCACGCCCGGGAACCCCCGACCCCUCUGAGCCCGGGGUACUGCGCCCGGGUCUCCACGCCCAGAGAUGCUCCCCGGUCUCCACCGUCGGGCAAGCCCCAAGCGCAGCAGCGCAGAGUCCUGGGGUCACCAGAGCUCGUACUAGGACAUCGUCUCCCCAUUUAACACCGCCUCCGGUCCCAUCUGAGUUGCAAGUGGUGGGGAUGUGGGGCUCCGGAUCAAAGUCCCCGAAACCGAGCACUUCCCGAAGCCUCCUUGGCCUCGAAACAAAACAAUAACGCCCAACUCCAUCAUAUUCCAGAACUCCCACCACCUGCAUACAGACAUUCAGCUGCACAAGCCCCCUCCAUGCUACAGUCAACAGGAUCUCCAGGCCACGGCUCAAGCCCAGGUACUCACAUCAGUGGUUCUAUCAACACUCAGGACAGACCCAUAGAAGAGGCCCAAGCAGGCCCUGGAAGUGCAUGUGGAGGCCACCAGGCAAGGAAUUCUGGAGUCCCAGAUCAUAUCUGGGUGUCCAUCAGCAUGUUACUUCACAUCUCUGUACCUCAGUUUAUUCAUCUUUCAAAUGGAAGCAACAUAUAGAGCUGCCUUAUAGAGUUGCUCUGGGUAUUAGAUGUAUAAUAUAUGUGAACUGCUUGGUACUGGGCCUGGUAUAUGGUAUGUGCUCAAUAAAUGAUAGUUGUUUAUUAUUGUCAUUUAUUAUCAUCAUCAUCAUCAUCAUAAUUAAAUAUUAUUCCAAGCAACAAUGUGUUCCUCAUAGUCCAACAAUAAUUUAAUAAAUGUAACCUUUCCAAAACU
rnacentral:lncRNA from 1 species